GACGAACGCUGGCGGCGUGCCUAAUACAUGCAAGUUGAGCGCUUAAGGUUGGUACUUGUACCAACUGGAUGAGCAGCGAACGGGUGAGUAACGCGUGGGGAAUUUGCCUUUGAGCGGGGGACAACAUUUGGAAACGAAUGCUAAUACCGCAUAAAAACUUUAAACACAAGUUUUAAGUUUGAAAGAUGCAAUUGCAUCACUCAAAGAUGAUCCCGCGUUUUAUUAGCUAGUUGGUGAGGUAAAGGCUCACCAAGGCGAUGAUACAUAGCCGACCUGAGAGGGUGAUCGGGCACAUUGGGACUGAGACACGGCCCAAACUCCUACGGGAGGCAGCAGUAGGGAAUCUUCGGCAAUGGACGAAAGUCUGACCGAGCAACGCCGCGUGAGUGAAGAAGGUUUUCGGAUCGUAAAACUCUGUUGGUAGAGAAGAACGUUGGUGAGAGUGGAAAGCUCAUCAAGUGACGGUAACUACCCAGAAAGGGACGGCCAACUACGUG
rnacentral:rRNA from 1 species